rnacentral:sRNA from 1 species
AUAUCUCUCCGUACGGGAAGGAUGAGAAGCUUCGACUAAGGUUCGAUUCGAGCGCAGCGAGAACGCGUUGCCGCAGGCAACGACCCGAAGGGCGAAGCGCGCAGCGCUGAGUCAUCCUUCCCCCACC